GCACUGAACAUUGACAGCCACUCCACUUUCUCUUGCCACACAACAGAUUUUUUUAACGUACCGCAACAGGACAGGAGUGUCCGAAAAGUGUUUUAUCCGGUGUGCUUACUUUUGGGAUUUUCCAAUAUGCGGAAAAUUAAGCGACCAAAAGAACUAUCUAGCCAGAUGGAUUUUGUGGCAGACCAGACCAUCGCUGAAGAAAAUUCGACGGCAAUGGAAAGCACUGCCCGCCACACGGAACCAGAAGGUGAGCCGGAAGAUAUUUUUUUAUGUUUCGGGCUUCGUAGCUGGCGAGGAAACAAUGAUGCGAUAUCUGAAUGCCUACGAUGCGCACCCGGCGCUCCCCGAUAAGUGGCUCAAGUGUGAAUGACGGCACCUUGACGAUAGUGCCGCGCAUGUAGGUAUCACGUUCUGCCUCAACUCAAAAUACUAGAAUAUUUUUUACAACAAAGAAAUAAAAAGUAAAACAUAAAUUAUUCA